UACGUAGGGGGCAAGCGUUGUCCGGAUUUAUUGGGCGUAAAGAGCGUGUAGGCGGCUUUGCAAGUCCGUUGUGAAAACUCGAGCUCAACCUCGAGACGCCGGUGGAAACUGCAAAGCUAGAGUCCGGAAGAGGAGAGUGGAAUCCUGGUGUAGCGGUGAAAUGCGCAGAAUAUCAGGAAGAACACCCGUGGCGAAGGCGGCUCUCUGGGACGGUACUGACGGCUGAGACGGCGAAAGCGUGGGGAGCGAACAGG
rnacentral:rRNA from 1 species